rnacentral:lncRNA from 1 species
AAGUAAGUAGAAGUUGUUUUUAAUUAAUUAAAAACAACGAUAAAUAUCACAUUUUCAAUUUUUAUAUAUUAAAUUAACAACAGUUUAUAAAUAAGUGAACUUAAUAAAGUUUAUAGGUUAGAUUUAUGCGUUGAUAGCUUUUAAUAGGCAUGAAGUUUACGAGUUCACGCGAAGCGUGCUUGAUUUAUACUUUACGAAAGAAAAAUUCGAUAAAGUUAAAUCUCUGUGUUUGUGAUGUUAAUGAAUGUUUUGUUUUAAGGAAUGUGUUAUUUUUAAAUUGUUGUAAGUUGAAGAAAUAUGCAUCCGGUUAAUAGCAGGGAGCACAACAUAAUUUAAUCCAUACUUUCGUUUUACAGUUGUCAUUCUACUCAUAAAAUGUAUACAUUCUUCGUAUGUCGCAGCGUGCCAACAAUAAUAAUCCUGAUUACAGACGGAACGUGAUGCCAUUUUUAAUGCUAUACGAUUUGAAAUUUGUGGUUGCACAUCGGUUGAAAAUGACUCGAUUAAGCCAGUCGAUGAAAGGCAUAUAGAAUCGAAUUAUUGAACGAUUAGACUGCUUUCUAUAAUUGGGAAUGCACAGGGCGACUACGUAGCUCGAGCCACCACCGAUCCCCUCCACCUUUUUGCAGAAGCUACUGUCGAACCGUGCGACCGAUUCGCAGAUUCGCAUUGCCCAGUUUCAACCCCGAAACAGAACAUCUUUCUCGUAAACUUUCACACGAAAUCCUUUACACUUAUACGGAUACGGUGAUCGAUCUAUCGACAGUUUUGCAAGUGAUCAUGCUACGAGAUUACAAUCAGUGGAAUGUUCGAAGACACCAUGAAGCAAAAACACAAGCACAAACACUCAAAGUGUUGAUUGAAACAGAGGAGAGAAAGCCAAGGAGGAAAUAUGUAUUUGAAUGAGCGUGGAUCUAUUUUUAAUAAAUGGACUACGAAGCCCGUGUGAUAACGCGAAGAAGCCCAUUUGCAUAUCUUGAUACGAGACACCGGAAGGAAACUCGACCGUUCCCUUAAAAGUCUACCACCACCCAUCCGAAGCUUUCUUCUACUCGAACAAUCGAUCGAAACGCUUGACAAUGGAAUCGAUCGCAAGGAUACGGAAUAUUAUGUACAACGGAAUCGAUUAUAAGUAUAUAUCGAUGUAUCGAUAUGGUCGACGAUGCGUCGAAGGAUUGUCGAAGGUAACCGAUAGUAUCCGAUAGAUGGAGAAAUGAAUCGUUUUCCAGAGAACAGUUUUCUACGUACCGUGCACGGGACAGAGUUGGAGUGGCGUCUGUGCCUCGGGAGCGUCCCGACGUCGAAUAUAUGCUCUCGUCACGACGCCCCCGCAUUCUCGUGGGAUGGUGGUUGCCCGACAAGCACGAAAAAGGCUUGCCUCGCGUGGCGUCGCGACGCUCGCCCAACUAGGCGGCCCCAGGCCCUAAGCGGACCGAGGAAAAUACGCCGUUUUGAAAAUCUUCGAUAACGUUCCUUCUUGUUUCAUCGAUACGCUUAAGAAUAUAAAGAGAGAGAGAUGGAAUUUAACGAGGAAAUUGAACGUGACGAUACAACCUCGAACAAGAUUAUAUGGAAUAUACAUACAGAGGGAAUUAAAGACGUCGGUUAUAUACCAACGCAUUGGAACUAGGGUAUAAAUAAUGGUAUGAGAAAAUGUAUAUUUCAUUUCACUUUUUGAUAUAUCGUAUAUAACAAUAUAUAUAUAUAUACUUUAUAAUAUUUACAAAAUAAAUUAAUAUUGAUGGUGAAAGUUCGAUCAGGAAACUAAGAAUAGAUUUAAGACGUAAUUAGUUAGAGGUGCAGGAAUCUCGCGUGAACAGUGAAAAAAGCGCAGCUUCCCACGAAGUUGGUCCAAUUCCUUCCUGAAAAAUUCUGCUUCUUUGCGUGUCCAGAAUGUCCCUUUCACGGUCGAAAGAUGCAUUUGGUAAGUAAGGUUAACCGAUUCCAGCAUCGUUUACGAAUUUUACGUUCCGAUAUUGAACAAGGAUUGGCCACUCGCGAGCGAGCUCUGUAUCGAGAACCAACACCUUUGCCAGCUUCCUCGUCCAGAUGAAGUGAUAGGAUGAAUAUUGACUUCGUUAGCCAUCCAAAGGACGUUAAAAAGUCAACAGUGUCUGGUCGUCGUAUCCAGUACAGAUGAUCACAACGAUGAAUACUCGAUGAGAUCUAAAGAUGAUCCGUAUAAUGUGACAUUUCAGUAACGUUGCUUUAUCGCAGCAUGAUAAUUUCUUAAAGGAAACCGAUGCCAGAUCGUACGUCCGAUUCCCUCCAAGUCGGUUGACAAUUCUUCGA